CAGAGAGUGUGUGCCAGCAGCCGCGGUAAUACGUAGGUGGCAAGCGUUGUCCGGAUUUACUGGGUGUAAAGGGCGUGUAGGCGGAGAUGCAAGUCAGAUGUGAAAUCCUCGGGCUUAACCCGGGAACUGCAUUUGAAACUGUAUCCCUUGAGUAUCGGAGAGGCAGGCGGAAUUCCUAGUGUAGCGGUGAAAUGCGUAGAUAUUAGGAGGAACACCAGUGGCGAAGGCGGCCUGCUGGACGACAACUGACGCUGAGGCGCGAAAGCGUGGGGAGCAAACAGG
rnacentral:rRNA from 1 species